AACGAACGCUGGCGGCGUGCCUAAUACAUGCAAGUCGAACGCUGAAGGAGGAGCUUGCUCUUCUGGAUGAGUUGCGAACGGGUGAGUAACGCGUAGGUAACCUGCCUGGUAGCGGGGGAUAACUAUUGGAAACGAUAGCUAAUACCGCAUAACAGUAGAUGUUGCAUGACAUUUACUUAAAAGGUGCAAUUGCAUCACUACCAGAUGGACCUGCGUUGUAUUAGCUAGUUGGUGGGGUAACGGCUCACCAAGGCGACGAUACAUAGCCGACCUGAGAGGGUGAUCGGCCACACUGGGACUGAGACACGGCCCAGACUCCUACGGGAGGCAGCAGUAGGGAAUCUUCGGCAAUGGACGGAAGUCUGACCGAGCAACGCCGCGUGAGUGAAGAAGGUUUUCGGAUCGUAAAGCUCUGUUGUAAGAGAAGAACGAGUGUGAGAGUGGAAAGUUCACACUGUGACGGUAGCUUACCAGAAAGGGACGGCUAACUACGUG
rnacentral:rRNA from 1 species